GACGAACGCUGGCGGCGUGGAUUAGGCAUGCAAGUCGAACGGUAUCAUCCUUUCGGGGGUGAGAGAGUGGCGAACUGGUGAGUAACACGUAGGUUAUCUACCCUCAAGACGGGGACAACCCAGGGAAACUUGGGCUAAUACCGGAUGUGAGCAACUUUUAGUUGUUUGAAAGGUGGCGUAAGCUGUCGCUUGGGGAUGAGCCUGCGUCCUAUUAGUUAGUUGGUGAGGUAACGGCUCACCUAGGCAAUGAUAGGUAGGCGGCCUUAACGGGUGGUCGCCCACACUGGGAUUGAGAUACGGCCCAGACUCCUACGGGAGGCAGCAGUCGAGAAUAGUCUACAAUGGUCGGAAGACUGAUAGUGCGACGCCGCGUGAACGAUGAAUCCCUUCGGGGUGUAAAGUUCUUUUAUAUGUGAGCAGUGCUUCUUAUAUUAACAGUAUGGGGAAGAGAUAUUAGCAUAUGAAUAAGCAACGGCUAACUCCGUGCCAGCAGCCGCGGUAAUC
rnacentral:rRNA from 1 species